GAGCCUCCUGACAGCAGGGCACAAUGGAGGCGACGGCGGGCAUGGCUUUGCUCCGGAAGCCCAAGUCAGUAUCCGGGAGAGAGGAGACGCCAAGAACAGGCUCCUUGCCAGCAGCGUUUACCCAGAGCCCUCUAGAGGAAGAAAUGGCGAAAGCCAAGGAAAACACAACUCUGCGAACAAGAAGAUAAAGAAAUGCAGCAGGGGAAUGAGAGAGGAGCCUGGAUUUCUGCCCCUGAGAAAGCCCAGGAGAUUUGAAACCACACAGAUGCUUUUCUCUACGACUCCAGCAGAGCAUCCCCAUCGCUGCUGGGAGGGAUGGAGAAGGACAUAGGACAUGGCCACAGCAGAGCCAGCACAGUGUCCAGCGACCUUCAAGGAGACGGCUUGGUACUUCACCGAUCCCGGCCAGCGGGCCCAGCACUGGGAAGCCAUGCAGGAGAGUGCUGGGAAUGACUCCUCUUGGGCCAUGGUGGAAGGAGAUGCUAUGUAAGAGAACAAAGAGAAAGACCUUCCUCAGCUCUGCUCAGCCCUUGCAUCGUCCCGUCUCCAGCAGAGUCCUCACAUCUUCUUGUAGUGGCUCCUCAAAUGCACCCAGAGCUCUGCUCCAUCUUAGGAACCAGCUCUGCUGACUCUCAACCCAACAGGAUCACCUCUGGGCUGGAGCUGGAGGAGAAAACAUGGACCCCAGCUCCCCAGGACUCAGAUGCAAAGCCCUUCUCUAACAACUCUUCCACAAGUGAAGAACUGGCUUAAAUAACCUGGAAAGCACCUGGAAGAAAAGCAAAACACCUGGGAAUUUUACCCAGGCCCUGAGACACCCACCUGAGCGUGGGGACGGGAUGGAGAGUGGGAUGAGGGUCAGCGCCGCACACACAGACCCAGACAUCAAGACCUGCCUGGAGGACAUCUCCCAGCACCACGAGCCAGCCAACAUCCACCAGAGCUCCCAAGAGAAAGUCCAGGAUUGUCCUGGGAGGGAAACUCCAGGGACAUGCAGGGAAUUGCUGUUCCCACCCCUCAUCCCACCAGCGAGAAGAGCUUCCCUCCCUGCAGUCGAGUGUCCCAGCACCCCUGCCCUGACUGUAGGAAAAGCUUCAUGGUCUUCUCCAACUUGCUCCGUCACCAGUGGAGCCACAGUGGGGACAAGCCCUACAAAUGCUCCGACUGUAGGAAGGGUUUUGGGCACAGCUCGGCUGUGCUGGUGACACACCGUCGCAUCCACACGGGCGAGGAGCCCUACCAGUGCGCCGACUGCGGCGAGAGCUUCAACGCGGUGUCCAACCUGGCGUGCCACCAGCAGCACCACACCGGGGAGAAGCCCUACACGUGCCCCGAGUGCGGGAAGAGCUUCAGCCAGAGCUCCAACGUCACCACACACCGGCGGCUCCGCCAUGGCCGUGGGGUGCACCAGCUCCCACACUGUGCUGGUGAAGCCCAGGGAUGCCAGCCCAGCCAGGAGGUCUUCUCCAGAGACUGGAAGUCAACCAGGACUCUGCUUAUCUUGGGGCAUGAGGGAAAGGGAAGAAAGAUUUGUGUAUCCUUGGGUACGAAGGGAAGGACGGGGAUGAAGCGUGGCCACCAUCAGCAGAAAACACCAGCUCUGGGUGAGGUUCCUCCUACUCUGCUGGAGGAAAAUAAAAACACCCCUUAUUCUUCCCAGCCAGAUCAGGACAGGGUUCUCCUGCUCCCGCCUUGCCCAAACACAACAAAAAGGACCUUUGUUUUUCCUCCCUGCUCCAAACUCUCCCCACACCAAGACAUUUGAUGCAAGGUGCCCAAGGGCUGUUUCAUCUCCCAUCUGGCGUUCCCAUCUCCUCUGGUGGUAACCGCUUCAGGAAUAAAAGGUGGUGUGAUAAAUACCGGUUGUGAUCUGUGUUUGUGUGUGCUCACCCAUGGGCAGACCAGGCACAAAAGCCCCACAGCCUCUUUUGACAUCCAGGCUGAGGCAGGAGGAAGCCCCUGAGCCUCAGGGUACCCAAAAGGGCCCCAGCAAGGAGCAAGCCCAGGGGCCAGAGGUCACUGGGGUUGGUCUCCUCCUACCAGUCCACAUCGCUUCGGAUGCCAUGGGAGG